ensembl:lncRNA
UCACAAGGAGUGACACUGUGAAAGUUCUAUCAGUUUCUGUCAUGACUGUCCUUCCCUCUAGAUUUCCAAACAGACCUUCGGUGGAGGGGGCCCUGCUUUCCUCAGCGCUAUCACUUAUGGAUUUGCAUUAGUAGAAAAAUAUUUUCUAAAGAACUCUUUUCUUCCCACACAGUGUUUAUGCAUCAGACACAGACUAUUUCAUUCUAACAAAUUUAUUUUCUCGAUCAGCUCUUACGGAAUCACUACUCAAAUUAAAUUACAAUCAAAUGAUCACAUCAAAAGAUACCCUUAUUACCUAACAACUGUCCAUAUUUUCAUUUCAUUUUGAUUUGUGCUCGUCUGAAAAAAACACGUAAUACAAGAUCUGGGGAAAAAUAAAUUACCGUUUUGCAGCAGUUCAUAAGUAUUCUGAAUAAAAUAUUAAAAGAAGUCAUUUAAUGAAAAUAUAAAGCAAAUAUUUUUAGAUCAACAAUGGAUCUAACAAUUCUAUAUUGCCGUCUUUUGAAAAGUCUGUUUAUUAAAACCUACCAAAAACACUGCUUGGAAAUGGCAGUAUUAUAUAAUCACAUCCACAGCACCCAUUCAAUCAAAGUUGGCAACGGAUUAAGGAGAGGAGUCCAGAGAAGCGCAGCGGCUGGUGCUCAGUCUUUCUAAAUCCCUUUAUCUGAGUCAGUCCAGAAAUAAAAAAUAAAAAAUAUUAAUAAAAAAAAUAUUAGCGGUGGAAUCUUUAGGCGUCGUCCGCCCGAGCCCGAGUGGCAGCCGUUAAAGCCGGGGUUGGCGGCCGGGCCUCUCUCCGCGCCCAGUCCGCCCGCGCGCGCCAGCUCGGCCCGGGCCUCUCCCACUCCUCGGAGGACGUCCCCUUCUCCCUCGCCCAUCCCUCUGCUCUUUUGUGAUGCUUUUAUUUCCAAGGUUACUUUGAGAAUACUUAUUCUUUUCUUUUGGCUUUGCUAUACAGUCUGCUAAUUUCAGAAGCUGUGAAUAUAUAUAUUUUGCUGGAGACUGUUCUUUUUUUCUCCUUCCCAUUUCAUAGUCAAUUCAUUUGUCCCCAAUGACUUUAAUAUGGCCAAGAAAAACAGGGUCCCGGAGCACAGAGGCAUCCCCUGAUUAAACCCGGUGCCUCUGCUUCCUCUCAGAUCGCUCCCAAGAGGCAAAGUUUUGCUGGAUCACUGCAGGCAGCCCUUUGGAGGGAGGGGGUGGUGGGAAAGGGGAUGCGAUUUUUUUUCCUUUUUUUUUUUAAGAGGAGAGGACGAGGCAGGUGCUAGGUGCUGUCCACCGCUGCCGGGUAGGACUUCUCAGGGUGGGAGCAACCUCACGAGUGCAGUUUUGGUGCGCUAGGCAUCUUCACCCUUCUUUAAAAAGAAAAAGAGAAAGGAAACGAAACACCACCGCAGUAUAGACGAGAUCUCAGGGUCGCCCCCUUUUUCUCUUCCGGUUUCGUUAUAUAUAUGUAUAUAAAACAGCCCGGGUAUUUAUUAUGCUUUUGUUUGUUUGUUUUGCCCCUCCUUCCUUGGACUUCAAAAAUGUCUUCUUGGUCCGGCUCUCUUUUCCUCCAAGGCCGGGCAUGCCUGUCUUUGGGCGGAGGGGAGGGCGGCGGCCCGGCCCGGCCCGGUGCGACCGGGGGG